rnacentral:lncRNA from 1 species
AUCCAUUUACACCCUAUAGGUACUAUACCCUUGGGUGGAUCCACUAAGGUCCAUACUUAGUUUGAGUGCAUUGAGUCAAUCUCUGACUUCAUUGUAUCUAACUAUUUCUCAAAAUCGAUAUCAGACAUCCUCUCAUCAAAAAUAUUAGGAUCAUCACCAUGACUCUUAUCUCUCAUAAGAAAUAUUUUUUUUACUUUCUCCAUAAGCAUACCCAUGUACCUUUCAAA